rnacentral:rRNA from 1 species
AUUGAACGCUGGCGGCAGGCCUAACACAUGCAAGUCGAACGAGUGGCGGACGGGUGAGUAAUGUCUGGGAAACUGCCUGAUGGAGGGGGAUAACUACUGGAAACGGUAGCUAAUACCGCAUACCAUCAGAUGUGCCCAGAUGGGAUUAGCUAGUUGGUGGGGUAACGGCUCACCAAGGCGACGAUACCUAGCUGGUCUGAGAGGAUGAACAGCAACACUGGAACGGAGCCACGGUCCAGAUUCCUAGGGGAGGAAGCAUGGGGGAACAUUGCACAAUGGGCGAAAGCCUGCGGCAGCAAUGCCGCGGGGAUGAAGAAGGCCUCCGGGUUGUAAAGUACUUUCAGCGGGGAGGCGUUACCCGCAGAAGAAGCAACGGCUAACUCCGUGCCAGCAGCCGCGGUAAUUC